GAUUGGUGAGUAACUCUGCAUAGCUGGAAUAUAGGCAUAAAAGAGAAGGCAAGAAAUGAAGCUGAAAUGGGAUAUGUGCCCUUGACUAAUGAAGGUUCCUCCUUAAUCUGCGAAGUUUCUGCAAAGCUUGCUGAGAGACACCCACAGAGUGGAAACCAGGCAGAAGAGAAGACUCACAUGCCCACCUCACCGGCCAAAGAACCCUUGAGAGCAACAGCACAACGGAUGUCAGAGCCAGGACAUCCAAGAACAGGUCUACCAAUCCUGCAAGAAACACCAAACUGAAUUUCAAGAUAUCGUGAAAACAACUUACUGAAGCUUGGAGUUGGAACAAUUCUAGCUUAUUGAGGAGCUCUUCAAAUUAGAAGGCAACAUGUUCCACUGAUGAGAAAACCGGCAAAGACAGGUUAGGCAGAAGAAAAGAGAGAUGAGACAACGGACUGUGCCAACAAACUAAAAUUUUACCUGCUGCUAUGGAUAAAAUAGCUUUCUUUUUAGAAAUACUCAUGUUAAUAAACUCCUACAUGCGACAUAA
rnacentral:lncRNA from 10 species